UGAAUAAGUGUGUGAAUCCAUAAGGUGUGAUGGUCAUGUUAAUGGUUGACUAAUCUAAUCGUCUUGUGGAUAUGAUAUGGUAGUUUGACUCUGACAAGCUUGGUAGGAGCUUGGAAAUGAACGGGUCAAAUGGAUACAAGUUCAAGUAUGAAGCUCGCAAGGAUGCAAGGAGUGAACCGGAAGUGGAUAAUUGCGUCGCUAUAAAGUAGCGGCUAAUAAAAGCAAGGUAUAAAACGAGUUUAUAUGUUGACCCGAGCCAGGUGAAUGUAGCUACCAUCCGGGUGUCGAUCAAGCAAUGAAGUGAACCGAACACUAUGCAGUUACAAGCUUCCGCACAUAGUUUCGUCGUUAUUUUUAAACGAGGAACUCAAUUACAUUACGUUGUAUUGUUCUUUAAUUGUAAAAGUUUUAAUAAACCCGUAUUUUUCAAUAUAUGUGUAUCCAUAAUUACAUAUUUAUUUUCGUAAACCA